rnacentral:rRNA from 1 species
UACGGGGGGGGCAAGCGUUGUUCGGAAUUACUGGGCGUAAAGGGUCUGUAGGUGGCCAACUAAGUCAGACGUGAAAUCCCUCAGCUUAACUGGGGAACUGCGUCUGAUACUGGUUGGCUUGAGUGCAGGAGAGGAAUGCGGAAUUCCAGGUGUAGCGGUGAAAUGCGCAGAUAUCAGGAGGAACACCGAUGGCGAAGGCAGGUCUCUGGGCCACUACUGACGCUGAGAAGCGAAAGCAUGGGGAGCGAACAGG